AAGAGAAAGAGAGAGAAAGAGAUAUUUGGAUCCAAAUUCAGGUUCUGUUUGCCUUGACCGGAAUUUUGGACCCACAUAUUUUGGGCUUUUUGACCCAUUUUUGUUUUGGUCCUUUGGUCCAUUUUCUUUCGUACCUGUCCUAGACUAAACAAUAAUAAAUAUAAAAUAAAUACAUAAAAAGAAAAGGGCUUAUGCCCAAAAAUAAAUACAAUGUGAUAAGGAAAACAAAUUAAAUAAAUUGGGUCUCUUUCGGCUCAACUUCUUCAUCUGUUUGAUUUCCUCCAACUUCUUUUAACUCGGGG
rnacentral:misc_RNA from 1 species